AGUGGCGUACGGGUGAGUAACACGUGGGUAAUCUACCCUUUGGUGGGGAAUAACUCUGGGAAACCGGAGCUAAUACCGCAUAAUCCUGAGAAGGAAAAGCAGCAAUGCGCCGAAGGAGGAGCCCGCGGCCGAUUAGCUAGUUGGUAGGGUAACAGCCUACCAAGGCAAAGAUCGGUAGCCGGCCUGAGAGGGCACACGGCCACACUGGCACUGAAACACGGGCCAGACUCCUACGGGAGGCAGCAGUGGGGAAUCUUGCACAAUGGGGGAAACCCUGAUGCAGCGACGCCGCGUGAGCGAUGAAGCCCUUCGGGGUGUAAAGCUCUUUCGGCAGGGAAGAUUAUGACGGUACCUGCAGAAGCAGCUGCGGCUAACUACGUGCCAGCAGCCGCGGUAAUACGUAGGCAGCGAGCGUUGUUCGGAGUUACUGAGCGUAAAGGGUGUGUAGGCGGUUCUUUAAGUUUGGUGUGAAAUCUCCCGGCUCAACCGGGAGGGUGCGCCGAAUACUGAGGGACUCGAGUGCGGGAGAGGAAAGUGGAAUUCCUGGUGUAGCGGUGAAAUGCGUAGAUAUCAGGAGGAACACCGGUGGUGUAGACGGCUUUCUGGACCGUAACUGACGCUGAGACACGAAAGCGUGGGUAGCAAACAGGAUUAGAUACCCUGGUAGUCCACGCCCUAAACGAUGCAUAUUUGGUGUGGGUCAUUCAGUUGAUCCGUGCCGGAGCUAACGCGUUAAAUAUGCCGCCUGGGGAGUACAGUCGCAAGGCUGAAACUCAAAGGAAUUGACGGGGGCCCGCACAAGCGGUGGAGCAUGUGGUUCAAUUCGA
rnacentral:rRNA from 1 species